rnacentral:lncRNA from 1 species
GAAAAGAACAAGAACCAAUUCUCCAGGUUUUUCACGUGCAUCACGUUUUGGCCUUGCUUAUUGGUAGACGUCCACGGGUAAUUAAGGUUGGACCUUGCUGACUGCAUCCUCCUGGUGGACCUCCGUUCGGCGGCCAGCGGUGACCAUGGAACCUUCCAACCUUUCAUCCUAUCUGGACCAUGAGAAACCCGAACCCACAUCGCCUUCCACAUCCAGCCUGCGCCUCUGGUUGGGACAUGACCCUGUCCUGCAGCCACAACCUCCCUUGGUUCCCACAUAUCCGGACUCCCGUCCCAUUGCUUGCCUUCGGGGAAAUGUGUCGUGCAAGGAAGAUCGUCUCUCCAGCCUGCCCUUUUCGGUCUUACUAUGUGUAGAACUCUGGUCCUCGUUGCUGCUCGUCGUUGCUCCACUGUGCCCGCUAUGAACAGUGAGCGACUGGGUGCUGCUUGAUUUGACCCCGCGUAACACGCCAGUCGUCCCUGCAUCCUCCCUAGGCUAUGAGCUGUCCGUGAAACGCUGUGUAACACGUUUGUAUCGGUGUUCUAUAGCCUCGUAAUUCCCUGUGCUUGUGCACUGAAAUGGGACAAUUUAGAGAGAGCUCCCAUUAUUUUGCCUCGUUUGACUAAUAUCAACGUAAUUUUGAGUCUAACGUGUACAUCUGAGCAAACAUUCUUUACAGGCGAGUUUGUCGCAUGACGUGCUCGUUUCGAGUGAUUGUGCUAACCAGUCCUUAUAGUAAAAAAAUUGAUGCGUUUGAAUCCAUGAGUAUAUACUAUACAGAGAUGUUUUAGGAAUAAUGCAAUGGUUUGCAGAAUCUGCCAGUUUUUAUUGUAAUGGUACGCUGCUCAGCCGCUGAGUGCAUCUAGUGUUUCUAGACCACUGGAUCUAUACCAUCGAAUUAAUUACGUAGGCGUAACGUUUAAAGCAGCAUUACGCCACAGUAUACUCUUUCCACCUGUUUUUAACAGUGGCAUUGCUCGACCCAUCUGUAUUUUUUCAUCUUCAUUUUUCUUUCUAUGAUGAAGGCAUCCAUUCACAUCGUGCAAUGCAGCGACAUAUUGAUGCUCUUUAGCAUGGAAAGCUGCGUAACUCGCUACAUGUUCUAUCAGUCUGGUCGGCCGGCAGACUGAUAUCAAUUAUCUGGUAGUGUUCUUUCAGAAAAAAAUGUGCACUGUUACGAACAUUAUUCAAGUCAGGCUGCAAAAAAAAGUGUGGCGGUGGAGCAGUGCACUCUACUUUUCAGUUAAGACGGUUUGCUUUCCUGUGAUGACCGAGAACUUCUACAGUGUUCCUAAUGAUAAUAGUGUCAUGAUUUGUGUGUGCUGUUCAGCGUGCCUGAUUUAACAAGUACACUCGCUCAUUCAUCGUAUGUUCUUGAAAAUGUUUUGUUGAAAGAUUGGUUUUAUGUACGUUUCGAAGGUGCAGCACGCGUUUUAUUACUGGAAAUAAAUGCUGAGGGUACAUUGUAGAUUCAUGAAGUAUGUGUUAAUCACUACAGUUUGUUUCGUAAUGUCAACGUUUUAUUUUAAAUGUUACUGAUUUCAUCGAACGAAAAUAAAAACAUGCUUAGAAAUA